rnacentral:rRNA from 1 species
GAUGAACGCUAGCGGCAGGCUUAACACAUGCAAGUCGAGGGGUAUUGGUUUUCGGACCAAGAGACCGGCGCACGGGUGCGUAACGCGUAUGCAAUCUACCUUUUGCAGAGGGAUAGCCCAGAGAAAUUUGGAUUAAUACCUCAUAGUAUAGUACUUUGGCAUCAAGGAACUAUUAAAGUCACAACGGCAAAAGAUGAGCAUGCGUCCCAUUAGCUAGUUGGUAAGGUAACGGCUUACCAAGGCUACGAUGGGUAGGGGUCCUGAGAGGGAGAUCCCCCACACUGGUACUGAGACACGGACCAGACUCCUACGGGAGGCAGCAGUGAGGAAUAUUGGACAAUGGGCGCAAGCCUGAUCCAGCCAUGCCGCGUGCAGGAUGACGGUCCUAUGGAUUGUAAACUGCUUUUAUACAGGAAGAAACACUCCGACGUGUCGGAGCUUGACGGUACUGUAAGAAUAAGGAU